AUUGAACGCUGGCGGCAUGCUUUACACAUGCAAGUCGAACGGUAACAGGCCGCAAGGUGCUGACGAGUGGCGAACGGGUGAGUAAUGCAUCGGAACGUGCCCAGUCGUGGGGGAUAACUACUCGAAAGAGUAGCUAAUACCGCAUACGAUCUAUGGAUGAAAGCGGGGGACCGUAAGGCCUCGCGCGAUUGGAGCGGCCGAUGUCAGAUUAGGUAGUUGGUGGGGUAAAGGCUCACCAAGCCAACGAUCUGUAGCUGGUCUGAGAGGACGACCAGCCACACUGGGACUGAGACACGGCCCAGACUCCUACGGGAGGCAGCAGUGGGGAAUUUUGGACAAUGGGCGCAAGCCUGAUCCAGCAAUGCCGCGUGCAGGAAGAAGGCCUUCGGGUUGUAAACUGCUUUUGUACGGAACGAAACGGCUCUGGUUAAUACCCGGGGCUAAUGACGGUACCGUAAGAAUAAGCACUGGCUAACUACGUG
rnacentral:rRNA from 1 species